rnacentral:rRNA from 1 species
CACGUAGGGUGCGAGCGUUGUCCGGAAUUAUUGGGCGUAAAGAGCUCGUAGGCGGUGUGUCGCGUCGGCCGUGAAAACUUGCAGCUUAACUGUGGGCGUGCGGUCGAUACGGGCAGGCUAGAGUUCGGUAGGGGAGACUGGAAUUCCUGGUGUAGCGGUGAAAUGCGCAGAUAUCAGGAGGAACACCGGUGGCGAAGGCGGGUCUCUGGGCCGAUACUGACGCUGAGGAGCGAAAGCGUGGGGAGCGAACAGG